rnacentral:lncRNA from 1 species
CGUACUUCGUAUUUGUAAUAUACCAGAUUUUGGUAUAAAAAUAAAAAUAAAUAAAAAUAGUGUAAGAAACUAUUUUUAUUGGAUUUAUAAAAGUAAAAUAUAAGUCAGAAGUGACUUGUGCUGAAAUCGGAAUGAAAACAGAAGAUCUAGAAUUUUCUGUUGGAAACGGGACAAAUAAAAUAGCAGAAAAUGCACAGUCUCAGAAAAUUAUGAAAAUUGGAGGAUAAGUCAGAAAUAUUUUUAUGAGGCUAGAUUUAAAGUUUCAUAUUUUUCUGACACCCGUAGAGUGAGAAAUAAAAUCCGACAGCUAUCUGAUAAAGAUUACAGUUCGGUACAGUUUUCAGUGACCAAACGGGGUCGAAACUGAACCAGCGAUCGUCAGCUUGUUAAGUUAAGUAAAACCG